UCACUGUCCUGCCUGUCCCCACUCGCUGUUUGACAUGGCUUUGUGUGGUGCUCAGAGAAGGCUGAGCUGCCUAAGGCUGCCGCUGAGUGGGUGAGGACUCGCUUGUUGUCCAUGGUUCUAGUCUCAGCACUGCAAAAUACAAAACAAGCAAGCAAACAAAUGAACAAAAUGGAUCUCAUAUAGUAUCUGUAAGGCAUAGAUGAGAAAUGGCCACAAUGGUGCUUAAAAGAGUCUUGGUAGCUUGCUAAUGUUUGAAUAAUGAGUGGUGGAAGACAAUCAUAUCUAUGUUGCUUGGAAACAUUCAGUCCCUCACAGCAUGAUGUCAUCAUCAUUAUCAUCCAUGACAAGGACUUUGCAGAAAAGAGUAGACAUUUUUAGGUAGAUACAAAACCUAGGACAGUUUGCGAGAAAUUAGAUAUAUGUAUGUAUUUCCUGUAUUGUAAUUUUUAAAUUUUAAAAUUUAGCUUAGUGGUUGAAUUUGGUCUAUCCUUGGCCCAAUUUUUGACUGAUAGCACCAUUCAGGUACCUCCUGGAAGGAAGAAAAAAAGAUUGUUUUAAUUGAUCUCCUCCAAUUGGGAUAUUUUAACUCUUGCCACUCUGAGGACAGAGAAGCCAUCCUCAUCUGGGGAUGCGGUUAUCACUGAGAACCACAAAGACCUUGUCAUGGGGUCCUCUAUAUCCCCUGGACACUAAAAAGUGUCUAGAGCACUAACCAAAGGAACACACUUGAAGGGGGUGCCCCCUCUGAUCUCUGUGGGCCACACCUGCAUUUUGGAGGUGGGUUGCAGCCCUCUGAGAGAGGAAAGCAGAAGAUGUAGGGAGAUCUAUCGGGACUCACAGCCUGCCUCCAAGACAGGCAGUGUUAAAUGUCCCACCGACUCAGGUUAACUGGGUCCUCCUUUGGGGUUCAACCAAGCUUGCAGGCUUGAAGCACUCCACACCCUCUUUUUAGUUGAUCAACUCCCCAUAUCCAUUUGUGUGUCUCAUAGCUUGCUCCAUUCACCCCACUGAGCCUCAAUGGCUAUGGCUGUUCAGAGAGGUGUCCUCAAACUGUGUCUCCUUAGCAUAUGUCUAGCAAGUCUCUAACACUUGGUGGGAAGAGCAGAAAAGCAAAUGAUCUUCUUCUAGAGCAGACAGGGCAUAGAGGGGUCUGAGAGUCAAGUGUGUGUUUUGUGCAUGCUGGUCGUUUGGUUGAUUUUCAGAGGCCAGUAGCCAGGGCAGAGGACCUUCCCCGUGGCCCUUGGAUGUUUGGUGUGGUCCAGCACAGUGUCUUAUAGCUGUGGCUAUGAUGCCAUCCAUGGCUUUAGAUCUAGAGGGAUGUUGCUUAAUCCUCGUGGGAAGGUGUGUUCAACAUAAAUGUCAUCAUAUUUGUGUUUAAAACUACCCUGUCCAUCACAGUAGGCUCCACACACCAGGUACCGUCUCUAAGGAUGUGGUGAUCUUAUAAUACGGUAUUUGCAGUUAAAGUGUACUCUGUCAAGGGAAUGCACAGUAACUGUGUUUUUGAAAAUUGUCCAGCAUUUCACUUUGUACUUUGACUCUUUCUCCUAUGUUUCAUUUGAAUAACUCACUAAUUUAGACUAGCUGGUGACUUUUCUACUUACUUUCAGACUCAGUUCCUCAGUCCUCUUCAUUUGUAGAGAGCUUUUGAAAACCAAAUUUAUGCUGAGAGGUAAUGGGCCACACCUUUGAUCUCUGAGGCCAGCCUGAUCUCCAGAGCAAGUUCCAGGACAGUCAGGGCUACACAGAGAAACUCUGUCUUGAGGGGUGAGGUUAAUUUUCUCGUCACCAAUACCUGACUGACAGGAGCUUAGGGGAGGGAGGUUUUGCUUGGCCCCACUGUUGAGAGGAUUCAGUCCAUCCCGGUGAGGGAGGCCUUGGGGUGGGAACAUCCUGAGGCUGGAGCAGUAGUGUGAGGUGCCUGGUGUCUGCAGUCAGGAAGCCAGAGCCAGGCCUCAAACCCCAGCGGCCCUGGAUCUGCCAUCCAGACCUCAUGUCCAAAAGGUUCCACACCCAGCCAGAACAGCACUACUGCCUGUUUAAAUAAAUGAGUCUGGGUGAGGGGCUCUGUUCCCUUUCAAAACCAUAGCACCAAAGUGUUUUAACAAACAAACAAUCCAACAACCGUGUAAAUGUAUCUGUGUACAAACAUGAGUGUUUGUACUCAGCAUUGAUUCCUGAGGAGUUAGACCCAUGGUUCAACCUUCCCAAUGCCGUGACCCGUUUGAUACAGGUCCUCAUGUUGUGGUGACCCCCCAACCCAACCAUAAAAUUAUUUCAUUUGUACUUCAUAACUGUGAUUUGCGACUGUUACAAAUUGUAGUGUAAAUAUUUUCAGAGAUGGAGGUUUACCAAAGGGGACGUGCCCACAGGUUGGGGACAGCAGGAUUAGAGGGAGGAGCCAUGGGAGCUCUCCUUGCCUUUGUUCAGGCUCCAGAAAGAUACUAUCAAGGAUUGAGUCUGUCCUGUUUGUGCAUGGCGUAAAUACAGCUGCUUCCGGCAGCUCUUACCUCCUUAUCUGAUUUUUCUUUUAAAAUUAACCAAGCACUUGAAGUCCUUCAGUCUCCCUUGGCUUUCUUCAUUUCGUGACUCCUAUUCCUGCAUGAGCCUGUGGUGGUGACCUCAAGACUGCUAUUGAGGUGACUGACUCCUGGCGUGGUAGAACGGCCCUGGUCCAUCCUUACCAGGCAUCAGCCUGACCCUGUGGCAGCAGCACAGAGUCCCCUUUCACUGACCAACGCCCAGGCUUUCUUCCAGCACAGCCUGCGUUGGGACGGUGCAGGAUGCCUAGGUUAAAGGAGGGCUGACUGUUUAGGAGUUAGCCUUGGCUUGAAAAGGUAGGCAUGAAAGACCUCCAGGAACAUCUACUGCCAGGUCCUUUUUCUCAGUUACAGGAAUUCUGAACACACAAGCUCCUUCUAACUUGAACAUGACAAAUCAUUUGGAACCAAGGGAUCCUGUUCCUCUUAGAUUUGUGUUUUUGUGUUUUUGUUUUUUUGUUUUUUUUACCCAUUGUCUUCCUUCUGGUUAGAGUCUGGUCGUGUCAUUUGUAGCAAACUGUUCUCACAUAGUUUUGUCCGUGUGUGACACUCAGCACCCCUCAGAUAUGUCCUGCCAUCAGAUCCUCUCAAUAACUUGGAAGCCAAACUCAUUUUUUUCCUGUCAUUUUUAAGGAUUGUGAAACUGUGCUUGACACUAAGCCAGUCUAACAGAGUCGAGAGUGGGUCCCCUUCUUGUCCCUGGAGAGAAGUGGACAAGGAGUGCUCUCAGGAUACAGGGAAGCGUGCAGAAGAGCGAGGCUGUCCCACGGAAGGGUUGUUAGCAGGGUUCCCCACUAGGUAGCCUUCAGUUCCUGCUUGCCAGUUUCUAAACUCUCUGGUAGAAGCCACCAUGCUUCUCUGAGACACAUUUCCGGAGUGGCUUCACUUGUGUUUGAAGUUGAGGGAGGGUAGGAAAUGGCUAGUGUGGAUAAAAAACUUCUCAUGGGACUUUGAAGUUCUUCUCCUAGGAGGAAGCCGCCUCCGGGCUCCACAAACAGUCACCUCUGUUGGAAGGUUCAAGUAGCUGGUUCACAGUGAAUGCCGGCAUCGCCCAGGAGCCCAGCUCAGGCGGCUGCUUACAGCUGGCAUGCAAAUCCAGACAGAGCCUCUCUCUCAGAUAGGAAAGAAGCAGAUGAAAGGGGAACAUUCAAAGGAAAGAGUGGAGAGGGUUUGUUUGUUCACCUCUUGGCGUUGAGUCAGCUUUUAAGUCUGAUUUAAAUAAUUGACGCAAAGAUACAUCACAGACAAUCCUGUGAUGUUUGGAGGAGGGCUGCUAGCGGGGAUGAUGCACCUCCUAUUCACUUAGCAACCUGUCAAUAUUUACCUAGCAAUUCCAGAAGUGUUUGCUUUUAGUGAAUCAAGCAGACCGAAGCUCGAUGAGGAGCAAUGAGAAGACUCUGAAGGGUGAUAUAGAUCUCCAUUUUCUUCAGAAUAAAAAAAAAUCAGAAAACAAAGCACACAAAAAACCACCCGUAAUUCUUCUUCUAAUCUAAUUGCUGUUUGAGUGGGCAUCUCUGGGGUCUUCUGUAUAUAUUUGCCUUCAACUAAAUCAGGAUGGUAUAUCUCUUUGUUCUCUCUUUCUCUCUCUCUCUCUUUGUGUGUGUGUCUGUGUGUGUGUAUUGCAGGGAAUUGACCCAAAGGCCUUUUAUGUGCUAGGCAAGUCCUCUGCCGCUGAGCUGAGUACAUCCUGGCCCCAAAUGGUAACUUGCUUUAACCCAGCUCUGCCAUGCUGUUACCUGUGCCCUGGCUUGUGGGUUUUUCUUGUCUGUCAUUGAGUUAAAUCCUUGGUUUAUGAGCUGGGUCUGAUACUAGCAGUUCAGCCUUGAACCUGCCGUGCACCCCAAGCUGUCCACUUGUUCACUAUCUGGCGUCAUCCUUCCAAGUGCUCAGAUUACACGGAUGUAGAGAAAUGUAAACUAGGGUUCAAGCCUGGGUCCAGGGAACCCAGACAGCAUGGCUCCUCUGGGUGUACUUCCUUCUAUUCCAGUGGGCCUGGCAGACCUCCUUUCUCGGUCUUUAGCAUGAACCUCCUAUGGUCCUGGCAUCCCUGCUCACAGUUCCCAGGGGGAUGGAAAUAGAAGUUAUACACUGAGAGGCAGGCAGAUUUCUGAGUUCGAGGCCAGCCUGGUCUACAGAGUGAGUUCCAGGACAGCCAGGGCUAUACAGAGAAACCCUGUUUGGAAAAACAAACAAAUGAAAGAAGUUAUACACUGGAGAUGUGAGGAGGGCUCAUUGUGUCUAAGGGGAAUAGGUAAGCUGGGGACGGCUUCUUAGACUCUGAUGCAGUUUAAGAUUUUGUUAUAAAAGCUCCUUAGUGGGCGGGGGAGAAUAUAGCACAAGGAAAGAAGCUAAGCAGGGAGAUAGGGAGACUUCACCUGUCUGUCUGUCCUCUCUGACCCCUGCUGUAGAACAAGCAGGCACUGUCUCUCUUUUUACUACUUUAGGGGUAAUCAUUUGCAUAUAAUAAAAUCCACAGACCUUAAGCCUACAGCUCAGCUGUCUAACUACCACUCCCUUCAGCUUCCCCGGGAGUGUCCCACACUGCCUCUCUGCCUCCGACCCACCCAGUUGUCAUAAUUGUAC